rnacentral:rRNA from 1 species
AUGGUAUGUACUGGCUUUACUGAUUCCUCCUUCUUGAAGAACUGUAAUGUCAUUAAUUUGGUGUUGCAGGGAAACAGGACUGUUACUUUGAAAAAAUUAGAGUGUUUAAAGCAGGCUAACGCUUGAAUACAUUAGCAUGGAAUAAUGAAAUAGGACGUUCGAUCCUACUUUGUUGGUUUCUAGGAUUGACGUAAUGAUUAAUAGGGAUAGUUGGGGGCAUUAGUAUUCAAUUGUCAGAGGUGAAAUUCUUGGAUUUAUUGAAGACUGACUACUGCGAAAGCAUUUGCCAAGGAUGUUUUCAUUAAUCAAGAACGAAAGUUAGGGGAUCGAAGACGAUCAGAUACCGUCGUAGUCUUAACCAUAAACUAUGCCGACUAGGGAUCGGAUGAUGUUAAUUUUUUAAUGACUCAUUCGGCGCCUUACG